GCACCCUUAGCUCAGUUGGUAGAGCAACUGACUCUUAAUCAGUGGGUCUAGGGUUCGAAUCCCUAAGGGAGUACAA
rnacentral:tRNA from 1 species